rnacentral:tRNA from 1 species
GGGCCGGUCGUCUAGUCUGGUUAGGACAUCCUUAAGAGGCUGAGGCCGCCGGUUCAAGUCCGGCCCGGCCCACCA